GACGAACGCUGGCGGCGUGCUUAACACAUGCAAGUCGAACGGUGAAAGCGGAGCUUGCUCCGCUGGAUCAGUGGCGAACGGGUGAGUAACACGUGGGCAACCUGCCCCUGACUUCGGGAUAACUCCUCGAAAGAGGUGCUAAUACCGGAUACGAAUCCUGCAGGCAUCUGCGGGAUUGGAAAGUUUUUCGGUCAGGGAUGGGUCCGCGGCCUAUCAGCUUGUUGGUGAGGAAGUGGCUCACCAAGGGGACGACGGGUAGCCGGCCUGAGAGGACGACCGGCAACACUGGGACUGAGGCACGGCACAGACUCCAACGGGAGGCAGCAGAGGGGAAUAUUGAGCAAUAGGCGAAAGCCUGACGAAGCGGCGCCGCGUGAGGGAUGACAGCCUUCGGGGUGUAAACUUCUUUCAGCAGAGAAAAAGCGAAAGUGACGGUACCUGCAGAAGAAGCACCGGCUAACUACGUGCCAGCAGCCGCGGUAA
rnacentral:rRNA from 1 species